CCUUGCCCCGUUCCUAUCUGCCUCGCAACCGUCGCCGCCUGCUGCCCCACUCCCUCCUUCUUGCCCCUUCCCGCAGCCAUGGGCCGGUUCGACCGUAGGCCCUGCAAGCCGCGCCGUGUCCUAGAGUGUCUUCCUGCCUCCUUCCCGCAGCCAUGGGGUGGCUCGACGGUAGCCCGUGCCAGCCGCGCCGUGUCGCAGAGCGCCCUACAGCCGGUGGAAGACCCGGCGGUGCCCUCCCCCAUCGCCUCGAUCUGGAGGAGGAGGAUAUGGAGGCCCUGUCGCCGGCCGCCUCACUGCCGACGAGAAGGAGGUCUCCUGCUUUUGCGAUGGGUGUCGUUCGUGGCCGCAAUGGUGAGCUGCUCAUGGCCGACCACAGAAGGGAUUUCUUCGCGCCGUCGUCUUGCCGGUAUGAUUUUCUCCGUGCCGCCGCUGAAGAAGACCAUACUGAUGUUCUGAUUUUCCCGAGUUUCCUGAGAAAAAACAGUGUCACGGCCUAACUUCCUUGAUUAUCAGUGUCACGGCCUUCCUCCACAGCUUCAGCACCGGCGGCGACUCGUGGAGCAGAGGAACCCAGUCCUCCUCCACCUCGGGCAUGGCGGCGUGGCUGUGCCUGUGCGGGACGCUGAACAGAACCAAGAGGGCUUGGCGGAGGAGCGGUCGGCCCGGGCUGCACAAGGCCAUGCGCUCCACGUCCAAGCUCAGGGACAUCUCUGUUCUGAGAUGCACUCCGCGUUCAAGGAUCUGAGGCCCUGCUAUAUUUUCUUCUGGAAGCUCCAGUCCAUACCAACACUGCAACCAUGCCGUCCAAUGACCGAACAAAUGCCGUCCAAUGCCCGAUCAUGUUUCUCAUGACAUUGGGGAACUGGGUGUAUUUGAGUACUAACUCAGUAUGCCUUUUUUCUGCUAUGUUUCUUAGUGCCCUCUGACCCCUCUCUACAAUUGGUGUGUAUCAGACUAUAAAUGCGUCUUUUUGCAGUAACUUCUCGAUUUUUCGGUAUGCUUAUAUGAACAACCUUUUCUGUAGCGAUAAAUAUUUCCUUUGUACUAAUUUCUCCAAUUGUCAUUUUGAACAUGCGUAGGACAAAUAAAAAAUGUUUCUUCGACACUUGCUUUCAUGCAUCUUUCGCUCCAUGGCAGUGAUCUUUCUUUAAUUUGUGUAGACACAUCAAGCUCAAAAGUGAGUUUUCAGGAACCUACCUGUUUCAUGAUUAAAUCUAAAUACCACUGGGUUUCUUACCUGCAGGUUUUAAAACAGAAGUGACGAUGGAAGUCGGGUGAUUUAUUAUGUGUUCAGAAAGAGACCACAGCUUGGUAUGUUGGUCCUAUUGUCUUUAAUUCAGGCUGCUUAUUCAUUGCGAAAGAAUAUCAUCUACUCCUAAUUUUGAU